CCUGUGUCUCUCCACCAAAUUCACGACUAAAGACAAAACCAUAGGUAAAAUUAGAAAGAUGUUAAGUCUCUUACUGACUUUGCUCAAAUAGAAAAGCUAAGAACUCAAUUGAGUAUAAUAUUUUAGGUACACGCGAACACACACUCCACUUGGUAUUUCAUUUUUUCACUGCCAUGAAUGUGAAGGGUAAAUUUAAGCCCAUGCAUAAGAGAGAGAGAGAGAGAGAG
rnacentral:misc_RNA from 1 species